GCGGCGUAUCGCUGCGCCGCGGUGAUCCGUCUCCUCGACGUCAAAUAGUGCCCUGGCCCCGCCGGGCCCCCGCGGCCCCUGAAGCGCGGCGGCGCCCGGGGCGGCCGGCUCCGUGCGCCCCGGGGCGGCCGAGCGGCGCGGGCAACGCGGGCCCGGGUCGCGCCCCCGCGGGCCGCGGAGGGGGAGAGCGAUCUCGGCUGCCGAGGGUGGCGGAUGAGCGGGUCCCCGGCCGCUCCGCUCCCCGCUCCGCGCCCCGCGCCGCUCCUGGCCCGACGGCGGCUCUCGGCUCCUGCCCUGUCCGGGGAUUCGGAGUUCUCCAUCACACAGGUCUUCCAUCAAAUUAUCUUCUACAACUGCGUGGAAAAUCAAAGCCCCUGUUUCACAGGAAUUUUCAUAAAUUCUGACUAUAUAAGAACAAGAAAAAAAAACCUCCUCAAAACCCAACGAAAAGGCAUCGCUGAGCAGCGGGACCGGGAAGCAGAGCGAAAGCCCCCAGCCCUGCACCCGCAGCAGUAAUUCCAGCUUUGUUCGUGGGCUUUUACUCGCAAAUAUCACAUUAAAGCCGGACUCCGCAACUCGCUCCCCUGCGGAGCCCCGGCCUUCCCCGCCGACGCCGGCGCACAGAAAAACGCCCGUGGCGUUCGGGGAGCCGGGGCACCGGGCUGCCGGCACGGAGGACAGCUGCCUAGCUUCGGCAGCGGCACGGAGACCGGCCCUCGGGCGGCCUCACUGCCGGUUGUCCGCGGAGCCUCCCACAACAGGGCACUCCCCAAGCUGGCUCUGCAAGUCCGCGGCUCCGACCGUGCCCCCGGUGGCGGCGCCCGCCGCCCGGUGCUUCCACGUGGCCGGGCUCUCCCCCGGGCGCCGACGAGCGGGCAGUCCCAGGACCGGGCCGAUUUGGCACGGUAGCCCAGCGGAACGCCCCCGGCCCGGGACGAGCCGCCGCCGCCGGCGCACGACGGUGACUGAUCCAGCCCGCGCUCCCCCCUCGGAAGGAUGGAUGUGAACGAGCUACUAAGUGUAGUUACUAAUAACAAUAACAAUAAAUUAUUGGACUGUUGCUCA
rnacentral:lncRNA from 1 species